CAGUCGCCGCGGUAAAACGGAGGGGGCUAGCGUUGUUCGGAAUUACUGGGCGUAAAGCGCACGUAGGCGGCUUGGUAAGUUAGAGGUGAAAGCCUGGAGCUCAACUCCAGAAUUGCCUUUAAGACUGCCGAGCUAGCAGGUGAGAGAGGUAAGUGGAAUUCCGAGUGUAGAGGUGAAAUUCGUAGAUAUUCGGAAGAACACCAGUGGCGAAGGCGGCUUACUGGCUCAUACUGGACGCUGAGGUGCGAAAGCGUGGGGAGCAAACAGGAUUAGAUACCCCCGUAGUCCCUGUCUCUUAUAC
rnacentral:rRNA from 1 species